rnacentral:piRNA from 1 species
UUUGGUAACUGCAAACAAGCAUGGCUGC